rnacentral:rRNA from 1 species
AUUGAACGCUGGCGGCAGGCCUAACACAUGCAAGUCGAGCGCGCGGCGGACGGGUGAGUAAUGUAUGGGGAUCUGCCCGCUAGAGGGGGAUAACUACUCGAAAGAGUGGCUAAUACCGCAUACUAUUGGAGAGGCCGAUAUGGGAUUAGCUAGUUGGUGGGGUAAAGGCUCACCAAGGCGACGAUCCGUAGCUGGUUUGAGAGGACGACCAGCCACACUGGGACUGAGACACGGCCCAGACUCCUACGGGAGGCAGCAGUGGGGAAUUUUGGACAAUGGGGGAAACCCUGAUGCAGCCAUGCCGCGUGUAUGAGAAGGCCUUCGGGUUGUAAAGUACUUUUGGCAGGGAAGCGGUAUCUGCAGAAUAAGCACCGGCUAACUACGUGCCAGCAGCCGCGGUAAUUC